GCUUGUCUCAAAGAUUAAGCCAUGCAUGUCUAAGUGUAAAUACGUCUACACUGUGAAACUGCGAAUGGCUCAUUAAAUCAGUUAUCGUUUAUUUGAUGAUCUCUUGUUACAUGGAUAACCGUAGUAAUUCUAGAGCUAAUACAUGCGUCAAACCCCGACUUCUGGGAGGGGUGUAUUUAUUAGAUGGAAACCAAUGCGGGGCAACCCGGUAUAUGGUGAUUCAUAAUAACUUUCGGAUCGAUCUUCGGAUCGAUGCAUCAUUCAAGUUUCUGCCCUAUCAGCUUUGGAUGGUAGGGUAUUGGCCUACCAUGGCUUUAACGGGUAACGGAGAAUUAGGGUUCGAUUCCGGAGAGGGAGCCUGAGAAAUGGCUACCACAUCCAAGGAAG
rnacentral:rRNA from 1 species